rnacentral:rRNA from 1 species
AUUGAACGCUGGCGGAAUGCUUUACACAUGCAAGUCGAACGGCAGCACAGACUUCGGUCUGGUGGCGAGUGGCGAACGGGUGAGUAAUGUAUCGGAACGUGCCCAGUCGUGGGGGAUAACGUAGUGAAAAUUACGCUAAUACCGCAUACGAUCUAUGGAUGAAAGCGGGGGAUCGCAAGACCUCGCGCGAUUGGAGCGGCCGAUAUCAGAUUAGGUAGUUGGUGGGGUAAAGGCCCACCAAGCCAACGAUCUGUAGCUGGUCUGAGAGGACGGCCAGCCACACUGGAACUGAGACACGGUCCAGACUCCUACGGGAGGCAGCAGUGGGGAAUUUUGGACAAUGGGCGAAAGCCUGAUCCAGCCAUUCCGCGUGCAGGAUGAAGGCCCUCGGGUUGUAAACUGCUUUUGUACAGAACGAAAAGGUUUCUACUAAUACUAGGAGCUCAUGACGGUACUGUAAGAAUAAGCACCGGCUAACUACGUGCCAGCCGCCGCUGUAA